GGCCUGCUAGCUCAGUUGGUUAGAGCGUCGUGCUAAUAACGCGAAGGUCACAGGUUCGACCCCUGUACAGGCCA
rnacentral:tRNA from 1 species